UUUUUGAUAAUAAUUUAAAGUYUGAUCUGCUCCAUGAAUUAUUUAAAUAGCUGCAGUAUUUUGACUGUACAAAGGUAGCAUAAUCAAUAGUUUUUUAAUUGAAAGCUGGAAUGAAUGAUUUGAUAAGGUAAAAGUUGUCUCAAAUUUAAUAAAAUUAGAAUUUUUUUUUUUGUUAAAAAACAAAAAUAAAUUUAAAAGACGAGAAGACCCUAUAGAUUUUUAUAUUAUUUAAUUUAUAAGAUAAAAAUUUAUUAAUUUAAUUAUAUAAUAAAUAAUAUUUGAUUGGGGAAAUUAAUAAAUUUAUUUAAUUUUAUUUAUAUUAAAACAAUAAUUAUUGAUUAAUUGAUUUUAAAUAAAAAUUAAAAGAAUAAAAUACCUUAGGGAUAACAGCGUAAUUUUUUUAGAAAGAUCUUAUUGAUAAAAAAGUUUGCGACCUCGAUGUUGAAUUAAGAUAAAAUUUUAUUGGAGGGGAUAAAAAUUUUUGGUCUGUUCGACCAUUAAAAUCUUAC
rnacentral:rRNA from 1 species